rnacentral:rRNA from 1 species
UACAGAGGUCCCAAGCGUUGUUCGGAUUCAUUGGGCGUAAAGGGUGCGUAGGCGGCGCGGUAAGUCGGGUGUGAAAUCUCGGAGCUUAACUCCGAAACUGCAUUCGAUACUGCCGUGCUUGAGGACUGGAGAGGAGACUGGAAUUUACGGUGUAGCGGUGAAAUGCGUAGAUAUCGUAAGGAAGACCAGUGGCGAAGGCGGGUCUCCUGGACAGUUCCUGACGCUGAGGCACGAAGGUCAGGGGAGCAAACGGG